UGCAGUCGAGCGGAAAGGCCCUUCGGGGUACUCGAGCGGCGAACGGGUGAGUAACACGUGAGCAACCUGCCCUAGGCUUUGGGAUAACCCCGGGAAACCGGGGCUAAUACCGAAUAGGACCUCCGACCGCAUGGUCGGGGGUGGAAAGUUUUUCGGCCUGGGAUGGGCUCGCGGCCUAUCAGCUUGUUGGUGGGGUGAUGGCCUACCAAGGCGACGACGGGUAGCCGGCCUGAGAGGGCGACCGGCCACACUGGGACUGAGACACGGCCCAGACUCCUACGGGAGGCAGCAGUGGGGAAUAUUGCACAAUGGGCGGAAGCCUGAUGCAGCGACGCCGCGUGAGGGAUGACGGCCUUCGGGUUGUAAACCUCUUUCAGCAGGGACGAAGCGUAAGUGACGGUACCUGCAGAAGAAGCGCCGGCCAACUACGUGCCAGCAGCCGCGGUAAGACGUAGGGCGCGAGCGUUGUCCGGAUUUAUUGGGCGUAAAGAGCUCGUAGGCGGCUUGUCGCGUCGACUGUGAAAACCCGCAGCUCAACUGCGGGCCUGCAGUCGAUACGGGCAGGCUAGAGUUCGGUAGGGGAGACUGGAAUUCCUGGUGUAGCGGUGAAAUGCGCAGAUAUCAGGAGGAACACCGGUGGCGAAGGCGGGUCUCUGGGCCGAUACUGACGCUGAGGAGCGAAAGCGU
rnacentral:rRNA from 1 species